CCUACGGGGGACAGCAGUAGGGAAUCUUCCACAAUGGACGAAAGUCUGAUGGAGCAACGCCGCGUGAGUGAAGAAGGGUUUCGGCUCGUAAAGCUCUGUUGGUAGUGAAGAAAGAUAGAGGUAGUAACUGGCCUUUACUUGACGGUAAUUACUUAGAAAGUCACGGCUAACUACGUGCCAGCAGCCGCGGUAAUACGUAGGUGGCAAGCGUUGUCCGGAUUUAUUGGGCGUAAAGCGAGUGCAGGCGGUUCAAUAAGUCUGAUGUGAAAGCCUUCGGCUCAACCGGAGAAGUGCAUCAGAAACUGUUGAACGUGAGUGAGGAAGAGGAGAGUGGAACUCCAUGUGUAGCGGUGGAAUGCGUAGAUAUAUGGAAGAACACCAGUGGCGAAGGCGGCUCUCUGGUCUGCAACUGACGCUGAGGCUCGAAAGCAUGGGGAGCGAACAGGAUUAGAUACCCGGGUAGUC
rnacentral:rRNA from 1 species